GUGCUUUUCUAGCUUUAGAUUGAAGCUAUUGAAGUUUAGUUCUAUGGCUUUCACUGAACUUUUAUACUUGGAUUGUUGAAUAUUUUUUGUUGUUUGCAUGAACAUACAUGUGACUAAUAACUCGUGUUUGGUGCACUCAUUGUAGCAAAAGAAUAUGCUAUUGACGAAAGAAGAAGUAAUGCAGCUGGUACAAUUGGUGGAGGCAAAUCCAUUGAUGUUCAGCAAAGUCACAAAUGCCAGCAAUAACCAGCUCAAGGAUGCGACUUGGAGGAUUAGGAAAACAGAAAAGACGAGCUGAUGCAGAUGAUAUGAGUCAAUAACAGAUCGAAAAGAAAUACAUGCAUUAAAGAAACGGAAACUCUAGCUAGAUAUACUGGAGAAGGAGAAACAACCCAAUAAUAAUUCAUAUAAUUAAAUAAAAUAAAACAGUUUAUUCUAAACCAUCUUUUUAUUACACUAUGCAUUUUGCACAUUCAAUGUUUAUCUCAUUUCUCGUCCACUGGAACACUUAAUUAAAAUAAAGAUGUAGGUAUGAA